rnacentral:rRNA from 1 species
CUCGUCCUACGGGGCGCAGCAGUAAGGGAUAUUGCUCAAUGGGGGAAACCCUGAAGCAGCAACGCCGCGUGGAGGAUGAAGGUUUUCGGAUUGUAAACUCCUUUUGUUAGAGAAGAUAAUGACGGUAUCUAACGAAUAAGCACCGGCUAACUCCGUGCCAGCAGCCGCGGUAAUACGGAGGGUGCAAGCGUUACUCGGAAUCACUGGGCGUAAAGAGCGCGUAGGCGGGAUAGCAAGUCAGAUGUGAAAUCCUAUGGCUUAACCAUAGAACUGCAUUUGAAACUGUUAUUCUAGAGUAUGGUAGG